AUGUUGAGAAAGAUGGCAAUCCUUUCAGCGCUGCUGGCUCUGAUUCUGGUUGAUCUGCUAAAGGCACAAGGUACCCCUGUUACCACUAAGUUUGAGGCAACAAGUGUAGAGCAAAGCAGAGAUCCCAGCAUGCAAGCAAGCACUGAGUCCCCCCUGGACUACAGCAGAGACCCAUACAAGGAGGAAGGCAUGGAACAAAGAGGGAACACUGGAGUGCAAGAAGGUGGACAGGGUACUUGGGAGCUGAGCGGAGAGCCAAGUACCGAAUCGACCCCCAAGCCAAGCGAGGAGCCAAGCAAAGAACCGACCCAGGAGUCAGCCACCGAAACAUCUGAAUGA
rnacentral:lncRNA from 1 species